rnacentral:rRNA from 1 species
GAUUAAGUUAUUAAGGGCGCACGGUGGAUGCCUUGGCACUAGAAGCCGAUGAAGGACGUUACUAACGACGAUAUGCUUUGGGGAGCUGUAAGUAAGCUUUGAUCCAGAGAUUUCCGAAUGGGGAAACCCAGCAUGAGUUAUGUCAUGUUAUCGAUAUGUGAAUACAUAGCAUAUCAGAAGGCACACCCGGAGAACUGAAACAUCUUAGUACCCGGAGGAAGAGAAAGAAAAUUCGAUUCCCUUAGUAGCGGCGAGCGAAACGGGAAGAGCCCAAACCAACAAGCUUGCUUGUUGGGGUUGUAGGACACUCUAUACGGAGUUACAAAGGACGACAUUAGACGAAUCAUCUGGAAAGAUGAAUCAAAGAAGGUAAUAAUCCUGUAGUCGAAAAUGUUGUCUCUCUUGAGUGGAUCCUGAGUACGACGGAGCACGUGAAAUUCCGUCGGAAUCUGGGAGGACCAUCUCCUAAGGCUAAAUACUCUCUAGUGACCGAUAGUGAACCAGUACCGUGAGGGAAAGGUGAAAAGCACCCCGGAAGGGGAGUGAAAUAGAACCUGAAACCGUGUGCUUACAAGUAGUCAGAGCCCGUUAAUGGGUGAUGGCGUGCCUUUUGUAGAAUGAACCGGCGAGUUACGAUUUGAUGCAAGGUUAAGCAGUAAAUGUGGAGCCGUAGCGAAAGCGAGUCUGAAUAGGGCGUUUAGUAUUUGGUCGUAGACCCGAAACCAGGUGAUCUACCCUUGGUCAGGUUGAAGUUCAGGUAACACUGAAUGGAGGACCGAACCGACUUACGUUGAAAAGUGAGCGGAUGAACUGAGGGUAGCGGAGAAAUUCCAAUCGAACCUGGAGAUAGCUGGUUCUCUCCGAAAUAGCUUUAGGGCUAGCCUCAAGUGAUGAUUAUUGGAGGUAGAGCACUGUUUGGACGAGGGGCCCCUCUCGGGUUACCGAAUUCAGACAAACUCCGAAUGCCAAUUAAUUUAACUUGGGAGUCAGAACAUGGGUGAUAAGGUCCGUGUUCGAAAGGGAAACAGCCCAGACCACCAGCUAAGGUCCCAAAAUAUAUGUUAAGUGGAAAAGGAUGUGGCGUUGCCCAGACAACUAGGAUGUUGGCUUAGAAGCAGCCAUCAUUUAAAGAGUGCGUAAUAGCUCACUAGUCGAGUGACACUGCGCCGAAAAUGUACCGGGGCUAAACAUAUUACCGAAGCUGUGGAUUGUCCUUUGGACAAUGGUAGGAGAGCGUUCUAAGGGCGUUGAAGCAUGAUCGUAAGGACAUGUGGAGCGCUUAGAAGUGAGAAUGCCGGUGUGAGUAGCGAAAGACGGGUGAGAAUCCCGUCCACCGAUUGACUAAGGUUUCCAGAGGAAGGCUCGUCCGCUCUGGGUUAGUCGGGUCCUAAGCUGAGGCCGACAGGCGUAGGCGAUGGAUAACAGGUUGAUAUUCCUGUACCACCUAUAAUCGUUUUAAUCGAUGGGGGGACGCAGUAGGAUAGGCGAAGCGUGCGAUUGGAUUGCACGUCUAAGCAGUAAGGCUGAGUAUUAGGCAAAUCCGGUACUCGUUAAGGCUGAGCUGUGAUGGGGAGAAGACAUUGUGUCUUCGAGUCGUUGAUUUCACACUGCCGAGAAAAGCCUCUAGAUAGAAAAUAGGUGCCCGUACCGCAAACCGACACAGGUAGUCAAGAUGAGAAUUCUAAGGUGAGCGAGCGAACUCUCGUUAAGGAACUCGGCAAAAUGACCCCGUAACUUCGGGAGAAGGGGUGCUCUUUAGGGUUAACGCCCAGAAGAGCCGCAGUGAAUAGGCCCAAGCGACUGUUUAUCAAAAACACAGGUCUCUGCUAAACCGUAAGGUGAUGUAUAGGGGCUGACGCCUGCCCGGUGCUGGAAGGUUAAGAGGAGUGGUUAGCUUCUGCGAAGCUACGAAUCGAAGCCCCAGUAAACGGCGGCCGUAACUAUAACGGUCCUAAGGUAGCGAAAUUCCUUGUCGGGUAAGUUCCGACCCGCACGAAUGG